AACAAAAACAUGUCCUUUAGAAUAGAAUUUAAGGUCUAACCUGCCCACUGAGGAAUUUAACGGCCGCAGUAUUUUGACUGUGCAAAGGUAGCAUAAUCAUUAGUUUUUUAAUUGAAAGCUUGUAUGAAUGGUUGGACGAGAUAUAAACUGUCUUUAAGUUAAAAUUAGAAUUUAAUUUUUAAGUUAAAAAGCUUAAAUAAUAUUAAAAGACGAGAAGACCCUAUAAAUCUUUAUAGAUUUAUUUAUUUAAUUUUUUAGGAUUAUUAAUUUUUAUAUAAAUAUAUUUAUUUUAUUGGGGUAAUAAAAAGAUUUAAUUAAUUCUUUUAAAAAUUUACAUUGAUUAGUGUUUUUUUUGAUCCUUUAUUAUAGAUUAUAAGAUUAAGUUACUUUAGGGAUAACAGCGUAAUUUUUUUAGAGAGUUCUUAUCGAUAAAAAAGUUUGCGACCUCGAUGUUG
rnacentral:rRNA from 1 species